rnacentral:rRNA from 1 species
GUCAAAUCCUCAUGGCCCUUACGCCUGGGGCUACACACGUGCUACAAUGGGCGGUACAAAGCGGAGCGAAGCCGCGAGGCACAAGCAAAUCGCUGAAAGCCGCCCGUAGUUCGGAUUGAAGUCUGAAACCCGACUUCAUGAAGUUGGAAUCGCUAGUAAUCGCGCAUCAGCAUGGCGCGGUGAAUACGUUCCCGGGCCUU